UUGGAGGGCAAGUCUGGUGCCAGCAGCCGCGGUAAUUCCAGCUCCAAUAGCGUAUAUUAAAGUUGUUGCAGUUAAAAAGCUCGUAGUUGAAUUUCGGGAUUCAUCCGUUGGUCGGGCUUCACGGUCCGUACUGGUGUGAUGGGUUCCUACCUUCUGAAUAACCGGCAUGCCAUUAAUUUGGUGCGCCGGGGAAGCAGAACUAUUACCUUGAAAAAAUUAGAGUGCUUAAAGCAGGCAAGUGCCUGAAUAGGUUAGCAUGGAAUAAUAAAAUAGGACGGCAUGGUUCUAUUUUGUUGGUUUCUAGGAUCACCGUAAUGAUUAAUAGGGAUAGUUGGGGGCAUUAGUAUUCAAUUGUCAGAGGUGAAAUUCUUGGAUUUAUUGAAGACUAACUUCUGCGAAAGCAUUUGCCAAGGAUGUUUUCAUUAAUCAAGAACGAAAGUUAGGGGAUCGAAGGCGAUCAGAUACCGUCGUAGUCUUAACCAUAAACUAUGCCGACUAGGGAUCGGACGAUGUUAAUUUUUCUUGACUCGUUCGGCGCCUUACGGGAAAC
rnacentral:rRNA from 1 species